GACCGAGCGAGCGAGCGGCACGGUAGCGACGCGAGGGAGCGAGCGAGCUCUGGUCUGCCGCCGGCUGUUGCGUGCCCCCAGCCACCCCAACCACCUUCUCCACGUGCCGGCGCUGCCGCUUGCCGCUAGAUGCAGCCAGUCCUGGCCAUGCCGCCGCCUCGCGUGUAGUACUCCAACACCGGCCGACGCAGCCGCGCUCCACCACCAACCCGCCCGCGCGCACCAUUCUUUGACCUCCCCCGCUUCUACAGGCAGUCUGCUGCGUGCGGUGCUCCUCCAGGUUCCUCCCUGGCUUCCCCACUUGCGUCGCAGGCCACAACCCCUCCUCCCUCCUGCAUCCUGCCACGCGACAGUCUGCAGCGGGCUUCCUCUCCACGCCAUUCCGACCACCAGAUCCACGCGAGCUCGCCCUUUAGCCAUGGUUUCGGGCGUUGACUCUCGCCACUGUGCCUUCCCGGCCCCAUCGAAGCCAGGUGCCGCUGCCGUGGGGAGGUGGGUGGAGAGCACCCUUCUUUAGGCCCGUGGUGGGUGGCCUACUCCCUCUCCGGUGACAUAGCCCUGCCCAUCUCGGAUCUAGCUCCAGUGACACCUUCCCCAUGCCAUCGUUCCAGUGGAGGCGCAGAAGCUUGUUCCGGUGGUGACUUCCUGCUUUUCAGUUAACUUUAGUAGCGCUAAAACUCUUUGCCUCCUUCAGUUAACUUGCUCUUCAUGUCCUAGAUGGAUCUCGUCCUCGAGCAGUUCAUGGUGUGGAUCUCCGGCGGUUAGCUUUUGGGUUUCUUCUACUCCUCCGACCUGGGCUCUGUAGUCUGCAAUUAUUUGGGGGUUAUCUGUAGCUACUAGUUUGCUUGAACUGAAUAAGGAGUUGACUGAGCCGGCCAUUUCAGUUAGCUCAAACCGAAGAAAAAAAGGUGUGUUACUUGUCUAUUUGGAUACUUGGGUAGCCACUGAAUUUUACUGUUGAGGUCUAAUAUGUGUCAGGGCAUCUAAACUGCAGCAUUUACUGACGUGAUGUGUAUAGGUUACAAGGAUGCGUGUAUGUGUACUUGGAUGUUCAGUUCUUACUUGCAAAUAAUGUUGUGUCAAGAGUCAACACAUCCCUGUCCGGUUUAUUAUUUUGGGGAUCCAGUGAUUUUUUUUCCUGUUAGCAGUUAACUUCUGCUCCGUUGCGUCGGGGACCGACGAGGUGCUGGACCCCUCAUGGGGAUUUACUGGUGGAGCGACCUCUCUACAGCUAGCUCAAUUUCAUGGAUAAGUUAGCUAAGUUUCAAGGAGCAGUUUGCUUUACUGAUAGUUAUGUAAAAAAAGAAACAGAGACCACUGCUCAAUUAUCUCUUGCCCCCAUGCUACCAGCAGUGUGAUCCACGGUGCGCAGUUUGCCAAUGCUCAAUUUCAUGGAGUAGUUAGUUCAGGGACUGGCUGCAGUUAUCUUGCUUCCAAAAAAAUUAAGUGAUGUACACAACUAUGAUUUUGCCAAGCCCCUGCUUGCGUGAGGUACAAAAAAUAGCAAUCUAAUGAGAGGGUUCAGUUUGUUUGCCAAGACCAUGCUUGCGUGAGGUACAAAAAAUAUUUUUAAUCCCGACAGUUAACUCGGUGUUAACCGCAAUCCCUGGUAGUUAGCUAUUUUACUCCAGACCGUUAGCUUGAGCCGGGCAAAAAACAAAAAAAAAGUAUUUUCAAUCCUGAUAGUUAACUAUCGCGGUCUCGACAGUUAGCUAUUCCAGUCCCGGCGGUUAACUUGACCAAGGAAAAAAAGAAAAAAACGAAUUAAAAACAAAAGAAGCAAAAAAGUAUUAUCAUCCAUUGCAGUUAGCUUUCUCAUCGCGUGCAGUUAGGUAUUUAAAACCCACAGUUAGCCUGACCCAAUCAAAAAGAAAAAA
rnacentral:lncRNA from 1 species